UCCAUGUUUGUUGGCGUCUUAUGAAGAUCCCACGCAAAUACUCAUGAACAUAAUCGACCCUCCAUCCUCACCGGUGUCCUCUCUGACAAAUUCAGAGGAAAGCACAGAGAACACUUUGGAAGACGCCAGCACAUCGGCCUCAAGCUCUGCCUCACCAGCUGGAAGAGGAAGCUGGAAGCUUCAGGCAUCAGGUCCACUUUCCCCCCGAUCCCCAAAAAAAAGAAACUCUCUAUGCAGGACUUCCUUCAAGCUGAGGCCGCCAAAG